UCAGCUCUUGCUGAAAAGGGUUGUUAUAAUGGUCCUUUGUCAAUCUCGUUGUACGACACCGAAGAUGAGAAAACCCUUCUUCCCCCCUCCACGAAACAAGAAUUGAUAGAUAGAUACGAGGCUGCCGGGGUCAGUUUAAAUUUCGUACCCAAAGAGGAACAUGGAUAUGAGAGAGUUUAUAAGAUGUUAGUGGACAUUCUUUUGUGGGCAGUGAAUAGUCCUGCCUGUUCAAAUUUGAUUAUACUCUCAAAAGGAGCCAUCAAAGAAGAGAGGACCCUCGAAAUUAUUGAAAGUUUGUAUUUCGGGAGUUUUGAUGCCAAAGUUGUCUUACCAGAGCGUACAUCAGAAUUGAUGCCUUUUACUGAAAGCUCAGCAUGGCUUUGGGAGUUGCUUUGUGAUGGAGGCGGAAGCUCACAAUCUUGUGCUGAUACUGAUGCUGUUGGUCCAUCCGAGGACUAGCUAGGAAGCAAUUCUGAAGAGGAGGAGGAGACUAAUUAAUGUAUUUUCAUCAUGUUUAAUGUUGUUUAUGAACUGUGAUAUUGGAUUAUCUUUGGUAGUCUUUUCUUCCAUAAAACAAAAAUAAUAAUUGAAAUAUCGUUUUUACUCUU